GUGGGGAAUCUUAGACAAUGGGCGCAAGCCUGAUCUAGCCAUGCCGCGUGAGUGAUGAAGGCCCUAGGGUUGUAAAGCUCUUUCAGCUGGGAAGAUAAUGACGGUACCAGCAGAAGAAGCCCCGGCUAACUCCGUGCCAGCAGCCGCGGUAAUACGGAGGGGGCUAGCGUUGUUCGGAAUUACUGGGCGUAAAGCGCGCGUAGGCGGACUGAAAAGUUGGGGGUGAAAUCCCGGGCUCAACCUCGGAACUGCCUUCAAAACUAUCAGUCUGGAGUUCGAGAGAGGUGAGUGGAAUUCCGAGUGUAGAGGUGAAAUUCGUAGAUAUUCGGAGGAACACCAGUGGCGAAGGCGGCUCACUGGCUCGAUACUGACGCUGAGGUGCGAAAGCGUGGGGAGCAAACAGGAUUAGAAACCCCGGUAGUCC
rnacentral:rRNA from 1 species